rnacentral:rRNA from 1 species
UGAGGAAUAUUGGUCAAUGGGCGAGAGCCUGAACCAGCCAAGUAGCGUGCAGGAUGACGGCCCUAUGGGUUGUAAACUGCUUUUAUGCGGGGAUAAAGUGCGCGACGUGUCGUGCAUUGCAGGUACCGCAUGAAUAAGGACCGGCUAAUUCCGUGCCAGCAGCCGCGGUAAUACGGAAGGUCCGGGCGCUAUCCGGAUUUAUUGGGUUUAUAGGGAGUGUAGGCCGCCAGAUAAGCGUGUUGUGAAAGGUACCGGCUCAACCGGUGAAUUGCAGUGCGCACCCUUUGGCUUGAGUGCGCAGUAAGCAGGCGGAUUUCAUGGUUUAGCGGUGAAUUGCUUAGAUAUCAUGAAGAACUCCGAUUGCGAAGGCAGCUUGCUGCAGUGCGACUGACGCUGAUGCUCGAAGGUGGGGGUAUCAAACAGG